rnacentral:rRNA from 1 species
AGUCGAGCGGUAGAGAGGUGCUUGCACCUCUUGAGAGCGGCGGACGGGUGAGUAAAGCCUAGGAAUCUGCCUGGUAGUGGGGGAUAACGCUCGGAAACGGACGCUAAUACCGCAUACGUCCUACGGGAGAAAGCAGGGGACCUUCGGGCCUUGCGCUAUCAGAUGAGCCUAGGUCGGAUUAGCUAGUUGGUGAGGUAAUGGCUCACCAAGGCGACGAUCCGUAACUGGUCUGAGAGGAUGAUCAGUCACACUGGAACUGAGACACGGUCCAGACUCCUACGGGAGGCAGCAGUGGGGAAUAUUGGACAAUGGGCGAAAGCCUGAUCCAGCCAUGCCGCGUGUGUGAAGAAGGUCUUCGGAUUGUAAAGCACUUUAAGUUGGGAGGAAGGGCAUUAACCUAAUACGUUAGUGUUUUGACGUUACCGACAGAAUAAGCACCGGCUAACUCUGUGCCAGCAGCCGCGGUAAUACAGAGGGUGCAAGCGUUAAUCGGAAUUACUGGGCGUAAAGCGCGCGUAGGUGGUUC